rnacentral:rRNA from 1 species
GACGAACGCUGGCGGCGUGCCUAAUACAUGCGAGUAGAACGCUGAAGGAGGAGCUUGCUUCUCUGGAUGAGUUGCGAACGGGUGAGUAACGCGUAGGUAACCUGCCUGGUAGCGGGGGAUAACUAUUGGAAACGAUAGCUAAUACCGCAUAAUAGCAGUUGUUGCAUGACAACUGUUUGAAAGGUGCAAUUGCACCACUACCAGAUGGACCUGCGUUGUAUUAGCUAGUUGGUGGGGUAACGGCUCACCAAGGCGACGAUACAUAGCCGACCUGAGAGGGUGAUCGGCCACACUGGGACUGAGACACGGCCCAGACUCCUACGGGAGGCAGCAGUAGGGAAUCUUCGGCAAUGGACGGAAGUCUGACCGAGCAACGCCGCGUGAGUGAAGAAGGGUUUCGGAUCGUAAAGCUCUGUUGUAAGAGAAGAACGAGUGUGAGAGUGGAAAGUUCACACUGUGACGGUAUCUUACCAGAAAGGGACGGCUAACUACGUG